AGCUUUGCGCAGUGGCAGUAUCGUAGCCAAUGAGGUUUAUCCGAGGCGCGAUUAUUGCUAAUUGAAGAAAUACUGAUGGGAGAACAUUAUGUAGAAAAGUUCCUAUGUAAUUGCCUACAGUAAAUAAAGAUAAGUAGAAUUUA
ensembl:snRNA U4 U4 spliceosomal RNA